GAAUAUUGGACAAUGGGGGGAACCCUGAUCCAGCCAUGCCGCGUGUGUGAAGAAGGCCUUUUGGUUGUAAAGCACUUUAAGCGAGGAGGAGGCUACUUAGAUUAAUACUCCAGGAUAGUGGACGUUACUCGCAGAAGAAGACCCGGCGAACACUGUGCCCACAGCCGCGGUAAUACAGAGGGGGCAAGCGUUAAUCGGAAUUACUGGGGGUAAAGGGGGCGGAGGGGGCCAAUUAAGUCAAAUGUGAAAUCCCCGAGCUUAACUUGGGAAUUGCAUUCGAUACUGGUUGGCUAGAGUAUGGGAGAGGAUGGUAGAAUUCCAGGUGUAGCGGUGAAAUGCGUAGAGAUCUGGAGGAAUACCGAUGGCGAAGGCAGCCAUCUGGCCUAAUACUGACACUGAGGUGCGAAAGCAUGGGGAGCAAACAG
rnacentral:rRNA from 1 species